rnacentral:rRNA from 1 species
UCGGGUGAGUAAUGCUUAUCUUACUUGCCAAUUAGUGGGGGAUAACCCUGGGAAACCAGGGCUAAUACCGCAUUUGUUGCUUCGGCAAUGAAAGGGAAUCGCAAGAUUCUCGCUAAUUGAGAGGGAUAAGUCGUAUUAGUUAGUUGGUAGGGUAAUGGCCUACCAAGACUAUGAUGCGUAGCCAGGCUGAGAGGCUGAGUGGCCACAAGGGAACUGAGACACGGUCCCUACUCCUACGGGAGGCAGCAGUGAGGAAUUUUCCACAAUGGGGGAAACCCUGAUGGAGCAAUACUACGUGAAGGAGGAAGGUCUAAGGAUUGUAAACUUCUGUUAGCACGGAAGAAGGGUUAAGCGUAAGUUUAGCCUUGACGGUACGUGCAGAGAAAGCCACGACUAACUAUGUGCCAGCAGUCGCGGUAAGACAUAGGUGGCGAACGUUAUCCGGAAUUAUUGGGCGUAAAGGGUGCGUAGAUGGUAUGAUAAGUUAUCAGUGGUAAAUCGGGGCUCAACCUCGUGGAAGCUGGUAAUACUGUUAUACUUGAGUACAGGAGAGGUUAAUGGAAUUCCCUGUGGAGCGGUAAAAUGCGUUAGAUAUAGGGAAGAACACCAAUAACGGCGAAGGCAAUUAACUAUUCUGCUACUGACAUUGAGGCACGAAAGCGUGGGGAGCAAAAAGGAUUAGAUACCCUUGUAGUCCACGCCCUAAACGAUGAGUGCUAGAUAUUGGACAGUUUAUGUUCAGUGUCGCUAGUUAACACAGUAAGCACUCCGCCUGGGUAGUACGGUCGCAAGGCUGAAACUCAAAGGAAUUGACGGGGACUCGCACAAGCAGUGGAGCAUGUGGUUUAAUCCGAUACGACGCGUAGAACCUUACCAAGGCUUGACAUGUUGGGCAAAACUAGGGAAACCUAGUGGAGGUUAUCCUAACACAGGUGCUGCAUGGCCGUCGUCAGUUCGUGCCGUGAGGUGUAUGGUUAAGUCCUAUAACGAACGUAACCCUUAGGUUUAGUUGCCAGCAUUCAGUUGGGGACUCUAGACCGACUGCCCGAGUAAUCGGGAGGAAGGAAAGGAUGACGUCUGGUCGUC